rnacentral:rRNA from 1 species
ACUGUAACUGACGCUGAGGCGCGAAAGUGUGGGGAGCAAACAGGAUUAGAUACCCUGGUAGUCCACACUGUAAACGAUGAAUGCUAGGUGUAGGGGGUAUCGACCCCUUCUGUGCCGCAGUAAACACAAUAAGCAUUCCGCCUGGGGAGUACGGCCGCAAGGUUGAAACUCAAAGGAAUUGACGGGGGCCCGCACAAGCAGCGGAGCAUGUGGUUUAAUUCGACGCAACGCGAAGAACCUUACCAGGUCUUGACAUCCAGUUAAAGCAUAAGAGAUUAUGUGUGUCUUUUGACAAACUGAGACAGGUGGUGCAUGGUUGUCGUCAGCUCGUGUCGUGAGAUGUUGGGUUAAGUCCCGCAACGAGCGCAACCCUUAUGUUCAGUUACUAACGCGUAAAGGCGAGGACUCUGAAGAGACUGCCGGGGACAACUCGGAGGAAGGUGGGGACGACGUCAAAUCAUCAUGCCCCUUAUGACCUGGGCUACACACGUGCUACAAUGGCCACUACAAAGAGGAGCAAGCCAGCAAUGGGGAGCAGAUCUCAAAAAAGUGGUCCCAGUUCGGAUUGUGGGCUGCAACCCGCCCACAUGAAGUCGGAGUU